AUUGAACGCUGGCGGAAUGCUUUACACAUGCAAGUCGAACGGCAGCACGGGGGCAACCCUGGUGGCGAGUGGCGAACGGGUGAGUAAUACAUCGGAACGUGCCCAGUCGUGGGGGAUAACGUAGCGAAAGUUACGCUAAUACCGCAUACGAUCUACGGAUGAAAGCGGGGGAUCGCAAGACCUCGCGCGAUUGGAGCGGCCGAUGUCAGAUUAGGUAGUUGGUGGGGUAAAGGCUCACCAAGCCGACGAUCUGUAGCUGGUCUGAGAGGACGACCAGCCACACUGGGACUGAGACACGGCCCAGACUCCUACGGGAGGCAGCAGUGGGGAAUUUUGGACAAUGGGCGCAAGCCUGAUCCAGCCAUUCCGCGUGCAGGAUGAAGGCCCUCGGUUGUAACUGCUUUUGUACGGAACGAAACGGCGCUCUCUAAUACAGGGCGCUAAUGACGGUACCGUAAGAAUAAGCACCGGCUAACUACGUGCCAGCAGCCG
rnacentral:rRNA from 1 species